rnacentral:rRNA from 1 species
UACAGAGGUCCCGAGCGUUGUUCGGAUUCAUUGGGCGUAAAGGGUGCGUAGGCGGCGGGGCCAGUCUGAUGUGAAAUCCCGGAGCUCAACUCCGGAACUGCAUUGGAUACUGCCUUGCUAGAGUACUGGAGAGGGAACUGGAAUUUACGGUGUAGCAGUGAAAUGCGUAGAGAUCGUAAGGAAGGCCAGUGGCGAAGGCGAGUUCCUGGACAGUAACUGACGCUGAGGCACGAAGGCCAGGGGAGCAAACGGG